rnacentral:rRNA from 1 species
AACGAACGCUGGCGGCGUGGAUAAGACAUGCAAGUCGAACGCGACUUGGCCUGUAGCAAUACAGGUUAAGUUGAGUGGCGCAAGGGUGCGUAACACGUGGGUAAUUUGCCGUGAAGUUGGGGAUAAUCCCGCGAAAGCGGGACUAAUACCGAAUGUGACUAUUGGGAGGCAUCUUCUGAUGGUUGAAGCUGGGGAUCCGCAAGGACCUGGCGCUUUACGAUAAGCCCGCGGCCUAUCAGCUAGUUGGUGAGGUAACGGCUCACCAAGGCGAAGACGGGUAGCUGGUCUGAGAGGACGACCAGCCACACUGGAACUGAGACACGGUCCAGACACCUACGGGUGGCAGCAGUCGAGAAUUUUUUCNCAAUGGGCGCAAGCCUGAAGGAGCGACGCCGCGUGGGGGAUGAAGGGUUUCGAUCCGUAAACCCCUGUCAUUUGUGAACAAUGUUCAUUAUUUAAAAGAUGAUGGAUUGAUAGUAGCGAAAGAGGAAGGGACGGCUAACU